rnacentral:ncRNA from 1 species
UAAAUAUUUAUAGUUUAAAAAUUUAUUAUAAAUUUAUUUUACAUAUUAAUUUUAGUAUUAAUUUUUAAUUAUUUUAAUAAUAUUUAAAUUUAAGUUAAUUAGUAAUUAAAAUUAAAAAUUUAAGAGAUUAAUAUUUAGUAAUAUUUAAAUUAAUAACUAAUUUUGUGCCAGCAGUUGCGGUUAUACAAAAAUUAAAUUAAAUUUUUUUAGUAAUUAAUUAAUUAAUUAAAUUUUUAUAUAAAAAUAAAAUUAAAUUUUAGAUUAUUAAGUGAAAUUUUAAUUUAUGAAAAUUUUAUAUUAAAUUAUGAUUUAAAAAAUUUUAUUAAAAACUAGGAUUAGAUACCCUAUUAUAAAAAUUUAAAUAAUAAUACUAAAAUAGUAUAUAAUUAUUUAUUGAAACUUAAAUAAUUUGGCGGUAUUUUAGUUUAUUUAGAGGAAUCUGUUUAUUAAUUGAUAUUCCACGAAUAAAUUUACUUAAUAUUAUAAAUUUUGUAUAUCGUUGUUAAAAAAAUAUUUUUAAAUAAAAAUAAUAUUUUAAUUUUUAUAUAAAAAUUUAAAUCAAAUCAAGAUGCAGAUUAUAAUUAAGUAUAUAAUGGAUUACAAUAAAUUUAUUUAAAUGAAUUUUAAUUUGGAAAAAUUAAUUGAAAGUGGAUUUAAAUGUAAUUUUAUUUAAUUUAUUAAAAUGAUUUAUAAUUAAAAUAUGUACAUAUUGCCCGUCGCUUUCAUUUAUAAGUUGAAAUAAGUCGUAACAAAGUAGAGGUACUGGAAAGUGUUUCUAGAAAGAA